UUUUGGUGUUAUAACCCUAUCAAAAUUCAACAACCAAUAGAAUGCCAGCUGUAGUGUUGACCAAUGAAAUGAUCCCUGCCCCGUUGAAGAUGCGUUCAAUUUACGUUAGAACGUCUGUUGAGGGCGGCUGCUCUGUAACCAAGUUUAGCUAUGUAGCUACCCCCGCGCCGUCCAUUGCUUUAUUAUAAGUAUAUGUCAACAAUGUGCACAGAGUGGUCGAUGCACUUUCACCUGCACCCGUCAGGAAACUGGAGAAAGUCCACAACUACGAGGGUGUGACUGAAGUAUCCCUGUUGAGCUGCAUCACAGCACACUGGUCUAUGCACUAUGUGCAUGUAUGUUUCUUGCUUAAAUCCACACACAACCAGGCCUGGGAGAGAAAAUUACUGAUAUCCACAAAACCAAAUCAGACAAGGAGCAUACUAUAUAAAGACAACAGUGGAGAGUUGCUGGAUCUGUCUGUCCUCAAAGUGCCAGAGAUCUACAAGGACUUCACACGUUUCUACACCAUCAACUGCGUAAUCAAAGUGAUAAAAGAGAGAACAAACUAUUGUUUUAUCUGUUGACAUGAAUAGGUGCCUGUAAUGUCUGCCAAUAUAUUCAAUCAAUUCAAUAAAUGUUGAUAAGUAUCACUGAUAUUUCUUAAAUCAUUGUAGUUUUUCAGAGCAAUAAGAGAUUAUUAAAACAAUGUUCAUAUUUGCGACAAAUUAAAACCCUGAUCAAGGCAAAUGGUUUUUCAUUUUCCAUAACAUUUAUA